GUUAAGAGCUGAAACUCUGAGAAGAUCAAAAUCAGCAAACUCUAAACCAACCAAAAAACCAAACUAAAAACAAUCCAAAAUCUCAAUAUCAAAAUCCACUUUGAGAGCAAAAAUAUCAAUUAGUGUAUAAGGGUUUCCAUUUCUAUCGAUAAAUCAGGAAAUUCAUCAGAUCUUUCAUUUGGUAUUCGUACUAAUUCAAUCAAGGAUGGUAGUGAGGUUGCAGUGGAGCGAUUUGAGGAGAAGGGUGAAGUGAAAUCUCAGAAGAAGAAUAAUAAAGAUGGGAGUGAGGUUGUUGGUAAUGAAGAAUUAGAAGUUGGGAAGAACAAUUUGUUGCUGCGGUUGAUGAUGAGGACUAAAUGGUACAGAGUACGAGUGUUUCAAGGGUUAAGAAUUAUGGAUUUGUUUUGAAUUCGUGAAUAAUUGCAGGAAGGAGAUGAGACAGGUGUUAGAAGAACACACUCAAUUCAUCUUUGCAAACGGCAAGUCGUGCAACGUGUUUGAGGAAAUGCCUGAGUGCUAGCUGAAGUUGUUAUUACUGUGAAUAAGGGAUUGAAAGUUGUUUUAAUGAAAUGGUCUUGCUGCAAGCUGUUGUAGGGGUAUAUGGUUUGCAGUGGAGGAACCGGUGAUUGAUAUUGGCUAGAAAUGGGAAAGAUGCAAGCGCAAUAGCUAUGAAUUCAUUGCAAUUCAACUGGCCUGGUUCCUGGUGAUGAUCUAAAAUGGGUCAAACUCUGCACAGAUGAUGACCUUGUCGCAGUUGCCUCUUUAAAGAAUUGGACAACCAAACUCGUUGCAAUGGCUAUGAACUCCAGUCGAUAUGGAAGAUGUUGCAGGCUAGACUUGGAAGUGUUGGUGUUUGAAGUAGAUGCUGCCGCAGAUUAUAGUGUUCAUGCUAUGUUUUGAGUCUCAGUUACAAGAUGAGAAGUUAGGUUCAAGGUUCACUUGAAAUGAUUCAGAUGCUAAGAAGAGUACCAGAUAUAUAGGUUGCAUUGCACUGUUGGGAGAUAUGGUAAGAGUAUGAUGUGCUUGACGAAUAAUGGCUGGGUGUUGCUGCUAGUUAUUGGUUUGACGAAUUACAGGCCAUCAUGACGCUACACAUUUGCACAAGCCUUUGCAACUCGAACCAAUCAGCUGAGCCAGACUAGCUGACUCGGUCUGAUUUGAAAGGAAAAAAAACAAUGACAGACUUUAAUCAGAGAUAUUCAAGGGAGUAUUAUGUCAUUUUAAUUUCACUUAACUGGGCUAACUUUCCGUCCACCGUUUUUGGUUAAAACUAGACUAGUUCUGUAAGAAAUAAAAAAACUGGCAUAAUUUUGUAAACCAUAAAAAAAAGGCUUAUUUUUGUAAAAAGCCCAAAUAUAAAUUGAUCUGUUUUUAGG